UACGUAGGGCGCGAGCGUUGUCCGGAAUCAUUGGGCGUAAAGCGCGUGUAGGCGGCUUGGUAAGUCCGCUCUGAAAGCCCGGGGCUCAACCCCGGGAGGCGGGUGGAUACUGUCAAGCUCGAGUCCGGAAGAGGCGAGUGGAAUUCCUGGUGUAGCGGUGAAAUGCGCAGAUAUCAGGAGGAACACCAAUGGCGAAGGCAGCUCGCUGGGACGUGACUGACGCUGAGACGCGAAAGCGUGGGGGAGCAAACAGG
rnacentral:rRNA from 1 species